rnacentral:rRNA from 1 species
GACGAACGCUGGCGGCGUGCUUAACACAUGCAAGUCGAACGGAAAGGCCCUGCUUUUGUGGGGUGCUCGAGUGGCGAACGGGUGAGUAACCCGUGAGUAACCUGCCCCUGACUUUGGGAUAACCUCAGGCAACUGGGGCUAAUCCCGGAUAGGAGUUCCUGCUGCUUGGUGGGGGUUGGAAUGUUUCGGCGGUUGGGGAUGGACUCGCGGCUCAUCAGCUUGUUGGUGGGGUAGUGGCUUACCAAGGCUUUGACGGGUAGCCGGCCUGAGAGGGUGACCGGCCACGUUGGGACUGAGAUGCGGCCCGGACUCCUACGGGAGGCAACGGUGGAGAAUGUUGCACAAUGGACGGAGGCCUGAUGCAGCAACGCCGCGUGCGGGAUAACGGCCUUCGGGUUGGAUACCACUUUCGCCUGUGACGAAGCGUGAGUGACGGUAAUGGGUAAAGAAGCACCGGCUAACUACGUG